UAAAUUAAUUAAAAUUAAUACCUUUUCAAUGUAAAUGAAAUACUUUUUAUAAGCUAUAAUUUA
rnacentral:tRNA from 1 species